rnacentral:rRNA from 1 species
AUACGGAGGGUGCAAGCGUUACUCGGAAUCACUGGGCGUAAAGCGCGCGCAGGCGGCUUGAUAAGUUGGAUGUGAAAGCCUAGGGCUCAACCGUAGAACUGCAUCCAAAACUGUCAAGCUAGAGUCUGGGAGGGGAAGAUGGAAUUAGUUGUGUAGGGGUAAAAUCCGUAGAGAUAACUAGGAAUACCAAAAGCGAAGGCGAUCUUCUGGAACAGUACUGACGCUGAGGCGCGAAAGCGUGGGGAGCAAACAGGAUUAGAAACCCGGGUAGUCC